UAUGGCACACAAUGACCUAUGCUUGAUAAAUGUUGUUGUCCUUGGUAACAACGUAUCAUUUGAUCACGAACAGGUUUAAGGACUAAACGAUAAAUCCUCCUUUGUCGAGUCUAAAUAGUCCUAAGGACUUCACCACAACACAGGAGUUCAUUAAAAAAUAAAACAAUUUGUGAUGAAAAAUAUCAAAAUAAUUUUUAUUAAUUUAUAAUUCAUAUACUGUUGGGUGUAAAAUCUCCCCCAGUCGAAGUUCGUGUCAGGAGUGACCCCUCGG
rnacentral:lncRNA from 1 species